UGCCUACGGGGGGCAGCAGUAGGGAAUAUUGCUCAAUGGGGGAAACCCUGAAGCAGCAACGCCGCGUGGAGGAUGAAGGUUUUCGGAUUGUAAACUCCUUUUGUUAGAGAAGAUAAUGACGGUAUCUAACGAAUAAGCACCGGCUAACUCCGUGCCAGCAGCCGCGGUAAUACGUAGGUGGCAAGCGUUGUCCGGAAUUACUGGGUGUAAAGGGAGCGCAGGCGGGAAGCCAAGUCAGCUGUGAAAACUACGGGCUUAACUUGUAGACUGCAGUUGAAACUGGUUUUCUUGAGUGAAGUAGAGGU
rnacentral:rRNA from 1 species